GUGUAGAGGUGAAAUUCGUAGAUAUUAGAAAGAAUACCAAUUGCGAAGACAGCUUUCUGGAUCAUUACUGACACUGAGGAACGAAAGCAUGGGUAGCGAAGAGGAUUAGAUACCCUCGUAGUCCAUGCCGUAAACGAUGUGUGUUAGACGUUGGAAAUUUAUUUUCAGUGUCGCAGGGAAACCGAUAAACACACCGCCUGGGGAGUACGACCGCAAGGUUAAAACUCAAAUGAAUUGACGGGGACCCGCACAAGUAGUGGAGCAUGUGGUUUAAUUCGAAGAUACGCGCAGAACCUUACCAACACUUGACAUGUUCGUCGCGACUCUAAGAGAUUAGAGUUUUCGGUUCGGCCGGACGAAACACAGGUGCUGCAUGGCUGUCGUCAGCUCGUGUCGUGAGAUGUUGGGUUAAGUCCCGCAACGAGCGCAACCCUCACUUUUAGUUGCCAUCAUUAAGUUGGGCACUCUGAAAGAACUGCCAGUGAUAAGCUGGAGGAAGGUGGGGAUGACGUCAAGUCCUCAUGGCCCUUACGUGUUGGGCUACACACGUGCUACAAUGGCAUCUACAACAGGAAGCAAAACGGCAACGUUAAGCAAAUCCCGAAAAGAUGCCUCAGUUCGGAUUGCACUCUGCAACUCGAGUGCAUGAAGCUGGAAUUACUAGUAAUCGUGGAUCAGCGUGCCACGGUGAAUGCGUUCCCGAGUCUUGUACACACCGCCCGUCACACCAUGGGAGUUGGUUCUACCUUAAGGCAAGGUUUUAAACCCUUGACCACGGUAUAGUCAGCGACUGGGGUGAAGUCGUAACAAGGUAGCCGU
rnacentral:rRNA from 1 species